CUCUGUCCCAGCUGUUGUCUGUCUGGAAAGCUGAGAAGGAAUCUGGAUGUCUUGCACCUGGGGAGCAGGUGGAUUUUGGGCAGGACAUUGAUUGGACUGAGGUGCUCCUGAGAUCCAGCCCAGUCUCCCAGGAGCAGCUGAUCACACGCUCCAAGACUGAAUUUUCACCGGAGAUGGAAGCAGGAGAGGGACUGGGGAAUGAGGAAUUGCAAGAGAGAUAAGAAGAGGAGGAGGGAAUAACUUGGCUGAGGAUCUGCUCCCUGCCACGUCCCGAGCUCUCUGUCAGGAAGGGAAAGUUUCCUGGUGGCUCAGAGUUUUGCAGAGCACAUCCCAGGUGUCAGAUGCAAGAGGAAAGUUGAAAGAGAGAAAAAAAAUUUGUUCAGCGGAGCAUCAAAAGCAAAUAUUCCUUUGGCACUGUCAUUGAUUCCACACCUUCCCCCAGAAGUUCCUCGCCGUUAUUCAAAUCACUUUAUCCCGUUAAUCCACAAAAGGCAGGAGCUGCUGGCUGCCUUAUGUGCAAUUUGAACAACAAGAUUUGGGCAAGACUGGGAAAAAGCACAAGAGAAUCCCCCCAAAUGGAGGAUCCAGCAGGAAGGGCACACAAACACCUGUCCAAAGGACACUUCAGGGGUGAGGCAUCCACAAGUUCUCUUGGCAGGAGAGAGGGAUAGCCAGCAUCUCUAGCAACAAAAAUAACAUGAUCCCUUGCAGAGAAAAGCCUCCAGAUUUCUAAAGGCAGGGGGUUUGGUUUGGUUUUUUUUUCAAAAAAGGGACUUUUUCUGCUCUGGAAGGAACAGGUUGGUGCCCACUUGGGUCAGUGAAGCAAAGGCAUCAUCCCUCAGCUGUUGGAUGGAGCCAGCCCUAUCUGUUGGAUUUUUCCUGAGAGGACCAUGGGGAUGAAAUCUGCCUUUUUCUAACUGCCUGUGUGCCCUGGGGAGGAGAGGGAAAAGCAGCAGGCACAGAAAAAGAAAAGGAAAAACAAAAAAGGGAAAAAUAUGUCAAUAAUUUAAGAGACGAAGCUCCUGCCACGGAACCCAAUCUCUUCCAGGCGCCCGCAGCAGCUUUUGGACACCUUGAUUAAUCGUAACUGGCUACAUAUUAUUUCCCUAUAAGCAAACUACAAUGUUACUCAUACAAACAGCUUAAUCUUGACAGCUGCAAAAUGCCAGGAUUUAAUGUGGGACGGAGGGAGUUUUGCCAUAUGUUGCCACUCCGGGCCUGAGACGUUCUAAUCCGCAGCAUAUUGCCUGCCGGAAACAGCCAUUUCAGGGAAUGCCUCCCUUCCCUUUUAAUUGCAUUUGUUGUCUCCAGUUCACGUUGGCUUUUCGUUUUCCUGCCAGCACGGAAUAAAUCAGUCUCUCAUGGCGGGGGGGAGCUUGGGUUGGGUUGUUUCCUUCUCUCGGUUCCUGUUCUUGAGGAAAGGGGGUUGAGUGUCAGAACCCUGAUGGUCCUGGAUGAUCCAAGCCCCAGCCAGGGGGAAUUGGAGCCCUGGCAGGGGGGUCAGAGACCCUGGCAUGCAGCCAAAGACCCCUGUGGCUUUGAGUUUGACCCAUGGAACAAAUUACCACCUCUGUAUGAAGAAUUAAAGGUCACAAAACAUUUAUAUAGCAUAAUAGUAGUAGUUAUAGGGUAAAAAGCAAAAUUUUGGGGGGUUUACUACAGGGGUCUAGGAGGCAAGAUGGAGGGAUCUGGGUGUUGUCCUGUUCUUCUUCCUUCUUCUUCCUAGCCUCCAUCUUCUGGGUGAUGGCAGCUCUUUGGGAUUGGUGUAGAGUAGAA